GCGUGGGCGGGAUUGCUGCCCGAGACCAUCUGCCAUGAAUGAGGAACGCCUGGCAAGUGUACCUCAUCCGCUUCUCCCACGCCCCCACCGUUUUGUACCCACCGCCCAUCGUUGCGGCUGAUGGAAGA
rnacentral:rRNA from 16 species